rnacentral:lncRNA from 1 species
AGGAAGCUGAAAAAAGAAGUUGAAGCCAUAGAGAGAGAGAUUUUGAAUACUGAAGUAAGGAUUUAACUAUUUAAACAAUGAGGAGUAACACAAAGUUUUAGAGAACUUAAAACUUUUAAUUAAAAAAAAAUUUAGGAAGUAAAAUCCUUAAACGUAUACUUUAAGGAAUUUGACCUGGCAGUUGUGCCUAUUAACUGUAGCAGUCAGAGAAGAGGUGAAGGUAAAGAGAUGAAGGUCCUCCAUAGUUAGUGGCUAUUCCAAUACAUGACCUUCAAUGUCCCUCACAUUUUUCUAAGUAUGUAUUGUAGAAGAACUCGUAACUGCUGAUGUCAUGUGCUACUAAUAGAAUUGAAUGAUAAGUAUUUGUAAGGACUUCUUAUGUGCCCAGUUGUAUGUUGACCUCUAUAAGGGGUACAAAAGAAGUCAAAGACUUGGCAUUUUUCAUGGAAUUUAGUUUUGUAAGUGAGUAGGGACCCUAAUAACUUGGAUCAAGUAAAACCAAAUUGGUAUUUACUGUAAAUGAAAUUUGGAGCUAAAAGAUGGAAGGUGACCUUGAGUACCUGAAGGUGAUGUCAUGGAAGUGUUAGCACUUAAAGUGGUUUGAAAGAUGGAUGAAAUUUACACAAAUGGUGGCAACAAACUGAAUCAAUAUAAAGAAGAUUCCUUGGCAGGAAGACUUGCAGGGACAAUGAGAAGCUUGGUUUACAUGAAAUUAAGAGCUGGUAUUAGCAGGUUAAUAAGAAAUAGAUGAGGUGGGGAAUUUAAGACCCAAUCAUAAGGAGUCUUGAGAGAGGUACCAAGUGAUUUGAGAUAAGAAAUAAUAAGGGAAUUCCCGUCAUGGCUCAGCAUAAACAAAUCUGACUACUAUCCAUGAAGAUGCAGGUUCGAUCCCUGGCGUCGAUUAUUGGGUUAAGAAUCCAGCAUUGCCUCAAGCUGUGGUAUAGGUCACAGACUCAGCUCGGAUCCUGCAUGGCUGUGGCAUAGGCCAGCAGCUGUAGCUCUGAUUCGACCCCUAGCCUGGGAACCUCCAUAUGUCGGGGGUGUGGCCCUAAAAAGACAAAAUAAAAGGAAUAAUAAGAUACAGAAGGCUCAUUAACAAGGAUUGUAUUAUUAAAAGGUAUCUCAGGAAAUUUAGUCUGACAGCAGUCAGAGAGUAGAGAAUUGAGAGUAGAAGAAAUUGGAGAUGAAAAAGAGUCCAAGGUACUGUUACAGGAAACAAGUAUGAGGGCUUGGAUCGCAAAACUGCUGACUGUAGGGACGGAGAGAGAGAACAAAACUGAAAGAAAGAUUUUGAUUUAAGAAAGAAAAAGAAAUUGGUACCAAAUUGCCAGAAGCUGGAAAAGGAAGACUCACAGAUUAAUCCAUACAGAAUGAUUGGGGAAAUUGGAAGCACAUAUUUUGGCAAAUGAAAACUGGAAUGAGGCUGACACAAAAUUGAGAUAUUCAGGCUAAAGACUAAUAAGGUGUAUUAUUUCUCAAAGUCCAGACACAACCUUAAAUUCUGGUUUUAUUUAGUUUUAAGCUACAUAACUUUUGCAAAUCAAUCUAGUUUUCCCUUCUGGAAAAGAGAAAAAAAUAAAAUUAGUAGCUGUUUCAUUGAGUAUAUAUUAUAUGCUAGGCAGUAUAUUAGGCUUUUUUAAAAUAUGGUUUUAUUACUAAAAACUACCUCAGCAUCCCUAGAAGGUAGGUACUGUUGUCAUCUUCAUUGUAUAGAUCAGUAAUCUGAGGCUCCAAGAGUUUACCUGACCUAAGAUCGGAUAGCUAGAAACAGACAGCCUUGGUUCAAAUCCUGCAUAAGAUCACAGAGGUAGAAUUUGAACCAAGGACCAUCUGUUUCCAAAGCUACUGCUUUUAGUCAAUUAUGCAAUGUUGCUUUCACUGUGCCUCCCAACAAUAUGCGCUUUAUUACACUUACAGUUAAGCUGUGUAUUUACUAAGUGCUUACUAAGUACCAUACUCUGUGCUAAGUACUUUUUAUGCAUGAUUUUAUGUAACCCUCUAACAAUUCUAUGAGGUUGCUACUAUUAAUAUGUACAUUUUGCAGAUGAGAAAUAAGAGGGUGAGUUACUUUUCUAACGUCACAGAGCUGGGAAGUUGCAGAACUGGAAUUUAUUCUUUAAGUCUAUCUGAUUUCAGAACCUAUACUCUUUUUUUAUUCUUAAAAGUCAUUUUGAAGAUUAAAUAAUUUUAUCCUUUUCUUAACUUUAAGGCAUAAAACAAAUUGUCUUAACAAUGAUGUUGUUAAUAUGCACAGCAGCAGAAUAACAUAAAAAUGAUGGUUAAAGCCAUGGAGUAUAUAAGCUAUCUGAAGGAAUAAAUUUGUAGAGAAAAAUAUAUUAGAGAAAAUCAUGAAGGAUAUUUAUAAUUUAGGAGCAGUAGGAGGGAAAGGAGUCAGAGAAGCCUAACAAUAGCUUAGAAAAUGCAGUAACCUGAAUCCUAAGGAAAAUAAUCACAAAAAUUUGAAACAUACAUGGUAUCAUAUGCCACAUAAAAUUUGAAAAAAGAAAGGUCAUUAGACUCUGACCUAGCAGAUUGCUGCUUAUACUGAGAUACUAGUAAACACAACCAGCAUCCAUCCAGUUUCCCAAUGCAUGAAUUUUUCUUAAUUUUUUAAACUUUCCUCAUUUUUCCAUUCAAUCACUUAUUUCAGCCUCCUAAAAUAUCUCUCAAAAUAUCUACCCUCUCUUCUCCAUACUCACUACUGCUUCCACAGUCCAGGAAAUCUUUACCUCCUGCCUAGAUUCUUCCAGCACCUUCUCAGUUCUUUCUGCUUUAUGACUUACCCCUUCCAGCCCAUUCUCCAUUGUGCAGCCAGCAUGAUGUUUCUACAAGACAAAUGAGAUCAGAUCAGCUUUCUGUUUAAAACAUCCCCAUGGGUUCUCAUUAACCUUAGGAUAAUAACUUAGUAUGACUAUGAAGCCCCAUAACAUCUGUCUUCUUUCUAGUUUUCCAGCCUUAUUUCUCCACUAUUAUUCAUCUAACUAAGCUUCAGCUAUGCCAAACUUACUUUGAGUACCUAUCACAUGCUCUGGGACUUAACACAUGCUAUUCCUUUUGGAACAGUUUUUUCUUCUCUCCUGCCUCCUUACUCCCCACCCCCCCAGACUUUCCUGGUUAACUGCUGCUUUAGGCCCCCUGCUUUACACUCAAACAGCAUCUCAUGCAUCCAUCAAAACAAUCAAUACCCUUUGUUAUAACUGCUUGUUUAACAUGCUGUUUGUACCUCAAGAUAUUAAAGUGUUUUAUGCAGAAUUUAUGUCUGCUCCUGUUGUUAUCCCCAGCACUUAAAACAAUGCCAAACCUAUAGUUUGAAUUAUACGUAUAUAGUAUACUCAUAGUAGAAUUCAAUAAAUACUUAUUUAAUAAGUGUUAUGAAUGAAUAGAUGCAGCAAGAAAUUAUUCUGUAUGUUAAAUAUAUUUAUAAAAUGAAAUUGUGAUAAGCUUUAUAAACCUCAUGUUUUUCUCUAGGUGGUAGGAGGUGUGAGGGAAGGGUAAUUUCACUUCUUUUUCCAAUUUUAAGAUGAGUAACAGCACAUGAGGCAGAUUUAAAAGAAGAAAAAUCAUGAUUUAAUAAUAAAUUCUCAUAAUUAUGGUAAUUAGUCUUUUAAAGGGAUUAAAAAUUAAACAGGGAAAUCCUGUGCCUGUAAUCUUUCAGUUCAAUAAUCAGUAACUGAAUUCCAAUGAUUAGGAAUAUUUAUCUAUAUGAAGAAGUGUGCCAGAAAAAAAUAGAAGCAUAUAAGUAAUUUCCUUUUCAUUUACUAGGAAUUCACUUUUUAAAUGCUCAGACUCCAAGGCAUUCUUAACCCAAGUCAGCCAUGUCUAUUCAAAAUGUAUUUAUUUAUUUAUUUUUCAUAUGUUGAGGGCUUGUCCUUUUUAUUUUUGUGGAAUUCCUAGUCAGUUGUUUCCUGUUUUUCAACUAGUUGUUGAUCUUUUUCCUUUUUAAUAGGAGUUUUUUUUUUUUUUACCAUUAAAUAUUUAUAUAGCAUAAUAAAAAGAAUAACUUAACUGGUAAGAAUAACAAAAAUAAUAUACCCUAUGAAAAUAAGUAAAAUAUAAAAUGCAUAAAUUGGUUAAAAAACAGUGUAACUGUAUAAAUAUGUCCUCACAAUUUGUUACAUCUUAUUGAUUCUUCAGUAUAGGCAUUACACCAUUCUAGGUGAUGUGAUAAACAAGACAUUAUAGACCUUACAUUGUACCAUGGAGACAAAUGGUUAUUGAUAAUACAGUUGUAGAACUGUAUUAUUUAAUUGUACAGUUGCAUUAUUUAAUUAUAAUUAUAAAUUCUUUGAUGGAGAGGAAAUCAGAAUCAGAUCUAAGAAGACUUCAGCAUUCCAAGAAUGAUGUCAAAUGACCCCCUUCAUGGUGGAUUAUGCACUUAUUUACUAUGAGAUAUAUUUCUUCUCCAGAGAUUCCUUGUUUGUGUAUCAAUUGUAGAUUUUUGGUUUCCAGUUAUUCUGAAGUUUUGAUAUACAAGUCUACAUGUAUAUGAAAUUGUUUUAAGUUGUUGGUCUCUUAAUUGCAAAUUCAUCUCCAGUAUCCUGCAUUUGUACCCACCUCUUCUCAUGAUUUAUGAUUUUGGUGGUAUAAUUGUACAUGGAUGAUUACAUAGCUUUACUGGUGAGCCUUGUCAUUUGUGGAAUUUUUGUUUCCUGUUGCGGGCUUUUUUUUUCUACCUAGAGUAGUUUCUUUAGUAUUUGUUGUAAGGCUGGUUUAGUGUUGCUGAAUUCUCUCAACUUUUGCUUAUCUGUGAAGGUUUUGAUUUCUCCUUCAAAUCUGAAUGAGAGCCUUGCUGGGCAGAGUAAUCUUGGUUGGAGGUUUUUUCCUUUCAUCACAUUAAAUAUAUCAUGCCACUCCCUUCUGGCCUGCAGAGUUUCUGCUGAAAAAUCUGCUGAUAACCUUAUUGGGGUUCCCUUGUAUGUUACUUGUUUCUUUUCCCUAGCUGCUUUCAAGAUUUUCGUUGUCUUUAAUUUUGGUUAGGUUGAUUAAUAUGUGUCUCGGUGUAUUCCUCCUUGGGUUUAUUUUAUAUGGUACUCGUUGUGCUUCCUGGAUUUGAGUGAAUGGUUCCUUUCCCAUGUGAGGGAAGUUUUCGGCUAUUAUCUCUUGGAAUAUUUUUUCUGUCCCCUUCUCUCUCUCUUCUCCUUCUGGCACCCCUAUAAUACGGAUGUUGGUGCUGGUGCGUUUCACGUUGUCCCAGAGUUCUCUGAGACUCUCUUCAUUUGUUUUCAAUCUUUUUUCUCUUUUCUGUUCUGCAUCCGUAAUUUCCACUAAUCUGUCCUCCACCUCACUUAUUCAUUCUUCUGCCUCCUGUAUUCUGCUGUUAGCUGCUUCUAGUGAAUUUUUUAUUUAAGUUAUUGUAUUUUGUAUCUCUUCUUAUUUAAGUUUUAUAUCUUAUAUCUCUUUGGUCACUGUUUCCUGUAAGUUAUCCAUCUUUGCCUCCAGUUUAUUUCCAAUGUCUUACAUCCUCUUUAGCAUCAACAAUCUAGUCUUUUUCCUGGAUGCUGAGAAUCUCCUCCUUGCUUAGCUGUUUUUCUGGGGUUUUUCCUUUCCCCCUCAUCUGACUUAUAGUUCUCUGUCUUUUCAUUUUUAUAGGUUUUUGGUGUGGUGGCCUUUUUACAGAUAAUAGAGUUAUAGCCUCUCUUACUUCUGGUGUCUGCCCCCCUUGUAGCUGAAGUCAGUGUGGGGGCUUGCUGUACACUUCCUGAUUGGGGGGGGGCUGAUGCCUGCCCACUGGUAGGUGGAGCUGAUUCUAGUCCCUCUGGUGGGUGGGGCUUAGUCUCUGGAUGGGAUUAGAGGCAGCUGUGUGCCUGAGGGGUCUUUAGGUAGCCUGUUUACUGAGGGGUGGGGCUGUGAUUCCCCCCCUGGGUUGUUGUUUGGCCUGGGGCUUCUCAGCACUGACUGAUGGGGGUGGGGCCAGAUUUUCCCAAAAUGGCCACCUCCAGAGAGAAGCAGCUGCUGAAUAUUCCCGAGAGCUUUGCUUUCAGUGUGCUUCCCUCACAACAAGCCACAUUCACCCCUGUUUUCCCAGGAUGUCCUCCAAGAACUGCAGUCAGGUUUGACCCAGGUUUCUUUGGAGACCUCGCUCUGCCCUGGAAUCCAGCGCACAUGAAUGUCCGUAUGCGCCUUUUAAGAAUGGGGUCUCCAUUUCCCCCAGUCCUAUGGAGCUCCUGUGCACAAGCCCCACUGGUCUUUAAUGCCAGAUGCUCCAGGGGCUCUUUCACCCAGUGCCAGAUCCCCACAUGUGAGGGUUUGAUGUGGGGCUCAGAACUCUCACUCCUGUAAGUGAGUCUCUGUAAACCAGUUAGUUUUCAGCCUGUGGAGCCUGGAGGUAUGGGGUUGUUUAUAUUGCACAAUUGCCCCUCCUACCUCUUGAUGUGGCCUCCUCUUUGUCCUCUGGAGUAGGGUAUCUUUUUUAAGGUUUCUGGUCCAUUUGAGUGGAGAUUGCUUAGGCUUUAGUUUUGAAUUUUGUUGUUUUUAGGAGCGAAGUUAAGCUCCAGUCCUUCUAUUCUGCCAUCUUAAUCCUCUCUCCUCAAAAUGUUUUUUUAAAAAGCUUAACAAUGGUUAGUUGGAAAACUAAUUUUCAUCUUCCCUAAAAAUUUUAUCCAAAAGAGAACAUAGUAAAAUUUAGAUAAAUAUGAAGCAAGGAACAUGCUUUUAUACAGGGAAAAUUAUAUUAUGAAAUAUGUAGAAACUGAUUCUAUUGUUUUAUUAAAGAUAAUUUAACUGUUUAGAAAACCGCAACAUAUUUAUUUUCAACUGGUCAAGGUCCUUUUUAAAUUUUAUUUUAUCUAUUGUAGUAGCUUUGUAUCUUUGAAUUUAUUCAAAGAUGGCACCUGUUGGCUGAUGUCAGAAGAAAUAGCAGGUGUGUUAAUCUUAUCCAGUGGCCAUCUGAUCUGAAUCUUUUUCUAUAUUACAUUCCCCAAAUGGUUAAAGGCAGAGAGAAAAAUAGUUACAUCACCGAGUCAGUAGGUAAUGAGGUAAGAAAAACAGGUGUGAAUUUUAUUCACUGUUUUAGAGUUCCCCAAAUAUGGAAUUUUUAUCCUAUUUCUAAGGUUAUAGAAGAAGAAACCAGUAACUUGAUAAUUCUCCCUUUUACUUGAUAAUUCUCUUUGGGAGUGGCUUUCUUUCUGUCUGAAACUAGACAUGUCAGUACGUGCCAGUUAGACCCUUUUCUAGGAGUACGCAGACUGUGUGGACCGUGUAGAAGACAGCCAGUUGAUCACUGAGUACUGUGUGCCAUAUACUGCUAGGAAAGAACUACAAGAGGGUCUAAGAAAUUUAGAAACUUUAUGUCUCAGAGGAAACAUUUAAGUUCAAGAGAUACACAGUGACACAAACAGAAAUAUGUCACAGGGCAGCAUAGGACAGUCCCAAAGGCAGUGAUUUCUAUAUGUUGAAGAGAAGGAUACUACAUGUUGUGAUUUGUGUUUAUCACUUUAUAUUUUACCUCAUAAGAUUUAGUCUUGGGGAUUUUUUUUUUUUAAGCUAGUCAAGAUUCUUUUGAAUCUUUAUGUUACUUUAUUUUACCUGUUGUAUUACCUUUUGUCUUUGUAUUCUUGUGAUGGAUGGGACCAAAUGGCCAAAGUCUUUGAUUGUCAGUUUACAGAGCUUGAUUUUUAUUAAAUAGACAGUGGUCAGAUAGCAAAAGUUUUUGAGUAGAUGAGUGCCAUGUCAUAUAUUGUUAAGGAAAGUUGGCAUGUUAAUAACAUGUAGGGUAAAUUGGGGGAUGUAAUACACGAGUUGAUUGUAAUAGUUCAAGUACAGAGUGCUCAGGAAGGAUGUUAGAAUAGACAGGAGUGUGUACUUUGUCUCAUUCACUGCCAUAUGCCUCAUGUAUAGCAUAGGAUCUGGUAUUUAUUAAGUGCUGAGUGACUAUAUAUUGAUUCAAUAAAUGAAUUAAUGAAAAAUUGUAAAUAUAGCCUAUGUGACAGAAGGAAAGGAAGGAGUUAAACACUGUAAUAGUUCAAGCUUGAUUGAACUAUUACAGAAAUAGGGAAUUGAGCAGGGAGAGAAGAUUUUGAGGAACAAUCAAGAAAGUUAUUUUAUUCAUGUAGAAUUUAAAACAACAAUGCUCCCAAGUAAGACACUCAGUAAGCAUUUGGGUGGGGCUAAUAUAUGGGAGAGGAGUUGAUUACUAGGGAUUUUACUCUGAGAACAAUUUGUAGUAGAAAUAGUAGAUAUAGUAGGGGUCAUGAUUCUCACAGAAGGGAGUAUGUAGGUAAAAGAGUAGAAGACCCAAGAGAGGGGCAAAUUAAUCUAACAGAGAAAAGAUAGUACGUGUUGAAUACUUUCUGUGCUAGGCACUAGGUCAAGAGCUUUGUAUGCAUUAUCUCUUUUAAUACAACUCUCCCCCCCUCCCCUUCACCUCAGGUUUAGGUAUUACCUAGGAAAAUGGAAAUUCAGAUAAGUUAAGCAGUUCAUUCAGGUCCUUUCCCCAAAAGGUAUUAGAGCUAGAAUAUGAACCUUGAUCUGUAUCCCUGGUUUUUCAACUCUGCUAAAAUUACUCUCUGUUCAUAAAUUUUGUCCAUGCUUUUCACUAAAUCUUUAACGUACUUAUAGCAGUUAUGUUUAAAGUCCUUGUCUAUUGAGUUCUGUAUUUGGUUGGGAGUUCCCACUGUGGCUAAGCAGGUUACAAACCUGACUAGUAUCCAUGAGAAUGCAGGUUUGAUCCUUGUCCUCACUCAGUGAGUUAGGGAUCCAGAGUUGCUGAGCUAUGGUGUAGGUCGCAGCUUGGCUGGGAACCCCUGUGGCUGUGGCUGUGGCAUACAUAGGCUAGCAGAUGCAGCUCCAAUUUUACCCCUAACUUGGGAACUUCCAUAUGCUGCAGGGGCAGCAGAAAAAAAAAAAAAGAAAGAAAGAAAAAAAAA